AUACGGAUGGUGCGAGCGUUGUUCGGAAUUACUGGGCGUAAAGGGCGCGUAGGCGGCGUGUCAAGUCAGAUGUGAAAUCCCACGGCUCAACCGUGGGCGUGCAUCUGAAACUGGCAUGCUUGAGUACUGGAGAGGAGUGUGGAAUUCCUGGUGUAGAGGUGAAAUUCGUAGAUAUCAGGAGGAAUACCGGUGGCGAAGGCGACACUCUGGACAGAUACUGACGCUGAGGCGCGAAAGCGUGGGGAGCAAACAGGAUUAGAUACCCUGGUAGUCCACAGCUGUAAACGAUGUGCACUAGGUGUAGGGGGUCGUUGACCCUUUCUGUACCGUAGCUAACGCAUUAAGUGCACCGCCUGGGGAGUACGGUCGCAAGAUUAAA
rnacentral:rRNA from 1 species